rnacentral:rRNA from 1 species
AGCAGCCGCGGUAAUUCCAGCUCCAAUAGCGUAUAUUAAAGUUGUUGCAGUUAAAAGCUCGUAGUUGAAUUUCGGGAUUGACGUGAUGGUCAUGCCUUAAGGGGUAUGAACUGUUACUGUUGAUUUCUCACCUUCUGGAGAAACUUGAUGUCCUUUAUUGGGUGUCUUGCGGAUCCAGGACCUUUACCUUGAAAAAAUUAGAGUGUUUAAAGCAGGCAUUUUUGCUCGAAUACAUUAGCAUGGAAUAAUAGAAUAGGACGGCAUGGUUCUAUUUUGUUGGUUUCUAGGAUCACCGUAAUGAUUAAUAGGGAUAGUUGGGGGCAUUAGUAUUCAAUUGUCAGAGGUGAAAUUCUUGGAUUUAUUGAAGACUAACUACUGCGAAAGCAUUUGCCAAGGAUGUUUUCAUUAAUCAAGAACGAAAGUUAGGGGAUCGAAGACGAUCAGAUACCGUCGUAGUCUUAACCAUAAACUAUGCCGACUAGGAAUCAGACGAUGUUAAUUUUUUU